rnacentral:rRNA from 1 species
UGGGGAAUAUUGCACAAUGGGGGAAACCCUGAUGCAGCGACGCCGCGUGAGCGAAGAAGGCUUUCGAGUCGUAAAGCUCUGUCCUAUAAGAAGAUAAUGACGGUAUCAUAGGAGGAAGCCCUGGCUAAAUACGUGCCAGCAGCCGCGGUAAUACGUAUGGGGCGAGCGUUGUCCGGAAUUAUUGGGCGUAAAGGGUACGUAGGCGGUUUUUUAAGUCAGGUGUCAAAGCGUGGAGCUUAACUCCAUUAAGCACUUGAAACUGAAAGACUUGAGUGAAGGAGAGGAAAGUGGAAUUCCUAGUGUAGCGGUGAAAUGCGUAGAUAUUAGGAGGAAUACCGGUGGCGAAGGCGACUUUCUGGACUUUUACUGACGCUCAGGUACGAAAGCGUGGGGAGCAAACAGG